AGAGUUUGAUCAUGGCUCAGAUUGAACGCUGGCGGCAGGCCUAACACAUGCAAGUCGAACGGUAACAGGAAGAAGCUUGCUUCUUUGCUGACGAGUGGCGGACGGGUGAGUAAUGUCUGGGAAACUGCCUGAUGGAGGGGGAUAACUACUGGAAACGGUAGCUAAUACCGCAUAACGUCGCAAGACCAAAGAGGGGGACCUUCGGGCCUCUUGCCAUCGGAUGUGCCCAGAUGGGAUUAGCUAGUAGGUGGGGUAACGGCUCACCUAGGCGACGAUCCCUAGCUGGUCUGAGAGGAUGACCAGCCACACUGGAACUGAGACACGGUCCAGACUCCUACGGGAGGCAGCAGUGGGGAAUAUUGCACAAUGGGCGCAAGCCUGAUGCAGCCAUGCCGCGUGUAUGAAGAAGGCCUUCGGGUUGUAAAGUACUUUCAGCGGGGAGGAAGGGAGUAAAGUUAAUACCUUUGCUCAUUGACGUUACCCGCAGAAGAAGCACCGGCUAACUCCGUGCCAGCAGCCGCGGUAAUACGGAGGGUGCAAGCGUUAAUCGGAAUUACUGGGCGUAAAGCGCACGCAGGCGGUUUGUUAAGUCAGAUGUGAAAUCCCCGGGCUCAACCUGGGAACUGCAUCUGAUACUGGCAAGCUUGAGUCUCGUAGAGGGGGGUAGAAUUCCAGGUGUAGCGGUGAAAUGCGUAGAGAUCUGGAGGAAUACCGGUGGCGAAGGCGGCCCCCUGGACGAAGACUGACGCUCAGGUGCGAAAGCGUGGGGAGCAAACAGGAUUAGAUACCCCGGUAGUCCACGCCGUAAACGAUGUCGACUUGGAGGUUGUGCCCUUGAGGCGUGGCUUCCGGAGCUAACGCGUUAAGUCGACCGCCUGGGGAGUACGGCCGCAAGGUUAAAACUCAAAUGAAUUGACGGGGGCCCGCACAAGCGGUGGAGCAUGUGGUUUAAUUCGAUGCAACGCGAAGAACCUUACCUGGUCUUGACAUCCACGGAAGUUUUCAGAGAUGAGAAUGUGCCUUCGGGAACCGUGAGACAGGUGCUGCAUGGCUGUCGUCAGCUCGUGUUGUGAAAUGUUGGGUUAAGUCCCGCAACGAGCGCAACCCUUAUCCUUUGUUGCCAGCGGUCCGGCCGGGAACUCAAAGGAGACUGCCAGUGAUAAACUGGAGGAAGGUGGGGAUGACGUCAAGUCAUCAUGGCCCUUACGACCAGGGCUACACACGUGCUACAAUGGCGCAUACAAAGAGAAGCGACCUCGCGAGAGCAAGCGGACCUCAUAAAGUGCGUCGUAGUCCGGAUUGGAGUCUGCAACUCGACUCCAUGAAGUCGGAAUCGCUAGUAAUCGUGGAUCAGAAUGCCACGGUGAAUACGUUCCCGGGCCUUGUACACACCGCCCGUCACACCAUGGGAGUGGGUUGCAAAAGAAGUAGGUAGCUUAACCUUCGGGAGGGCGCUUACCACUUUGUGAUUCAUGACUGGGGUGAAGUCGAAACAAGGUA
rnacentral:rRNA from 1 species